AGGAUGAACGCUGGCGGCGUGCCUAAUACAUGCAAGUCGAGCGGUAAGGCCCCUUCGGGGGUACACGAGCGGCGGACGGCUGAGUAACACGUAGGAACGUACCCCAAACUGAGGGAUAAGCACCAGAAAUGGUGUCUAAUACCGCAUGUGCUCUUCGGAGUAAAGCUUCGGCGGUUUGGGAGCGGCCUGCGCAUGAUUAGCUUGUUGGUGAGGUAAAAGCUCACCAAGGCGACGAUCAUUAGCUGGUCUGAGAGGAUGAUCAGCCAGACUGGGACUGAGAACGGCCCAGACUCCUACGGGAGGCAGCAGUAGGGAAUUUUCCACAAUGGGCGAAAGCCUGAUGGAGCAACGCCGCGUGCAGGAUGAAGGCCUUCGGGUUGUAAACUGCUUUAUCUGUGAAGAUUAUGACGGUAGCAGAUGAAUAAGGAUCGGCUAACUCCGUGCCAGCAGCCGCGGU
rnacentral:rRNA from 1 species